GAUGAACGCUGGCGGCGUGCCUAAUACAUGCAAGUCGAGCGAACGGACGAGAAGCUUGCUUCUCUGAUGUUAGCGGCGGACGGGUGAGUAACACGUGGAUAACCUACCUAUAAGACUGGGAUAACUUCGGGAAACCGUAGCUAAUACCGGAUAAUAUUUUGAACCGCAUGGUUCAAAAGUGAAAGACGGUCUUGCUGUCACUUAUAGAUGGAUCCGCGCUGCAUUAGCUAGUUGGUAAGGUAACGGCUUACCAAGGCAACGAUGCAUAGCCGACCUGAGAGGGUGAUCGGCCACACUGGAACUGAGACACGGUCCAGACUCCUACGGGCGGCAGCAGUAGGGAAUCUUCCGCAAUGGGCGAAAGCCUGACGGAGCAACGCCGCGUGAGUGAUGAAGGUCUUCGGAUCGUAAAACUCUGUUAUUAGGGAAGAACAUAUGUGUAAGUAACUGUGCACAUCUUGACGGUACCUAAUCAGAAAGCCACGGCUAACUACGUG
rnacentral:rRNA from 1 species